ensembl:lncRNA
UGUUUCUGUGCAACAGUAGGUAGGUCCAGGGUUAGGUUCCUGUGCAACAGUAGGUAGGUCCAGGGUUAGGUUCCUGUGCAACAGUAGGUAGGUCCAGGGUUAGGUUCCUGUGCAACAGUAGGUAGAUCCAGGGUUGUGUUUCUGUGCAACGGUAGGUAGGUCCAGGGUUGUGUUUCUGUGCAACAGUAGGUAGGUCCAGGGUUGUGUUUCUGUGCAACAGUAGGUAGGUCCAGGGUUGUGUUUCUGUGCAACAGUAGGUAGGUCCAGGGUUGUGUUUCUGUGCAACAGUAGGUAGGUCCAGGGUUGUGUUUCUGUGCAACAGUAGGUAGGUACACACAACACAUGGUUUUUCAAUAUGCUUCAGAAAAACUA